rnacentral:rRNA from 1 species
AGGUUACUGCUAUCGAGGUUCGACUAAGCCAUGCGAGUCGAAUGUAGCAAUACAUGGCGAACUGCUCAGUAACACGUGGACAACCUGCCCUUAGGUUGGGUAUAAACCCGGGAAACUGGGUAUAAUACCCGAUAGGUCUCGAUUGCUGGAAUGCAUCGAGAUUUAAAGCUCCGGCGCCUAAGGAUGGGUCUGCGGCCUAUCAGGUAGUAGUGGGUGUAGCGUACCUACUAGCCUACGACGGGUACGGGUUGUGAGAGCAAGAGCCCGGAGAUGGAUUCUGAGACACGAAUCCAGGCCCUACGGGGUGCAGCAGGCGCGAAAACUUUACAAUGCUGGCAACAGCGAUAAGGGAACCUCGAGUGCCAGGUUACAAAUCUGGCUGUCGAGAUGCCUAAAAAGCAUUUCAUAGCAAGGGCCGGGCAAGACCGGUGCCAGCCGCCGCGGUAACACCGGCGGCUCGAGUGGUAACCGUUAUUAUUGGGUCUAAAGGGUCUGUAGCCGGCCGGAUAAGUCUCUUGAGAAAUCUGGCAGCUUAACUGUCAGGCUUUCAGGAGAUACUGUCUGGCUCGAGGCCGGGAGAGGUGAGAGGUACUUCAGGGGUAGGGGUGAAAUCUUGUAAUCCUUGAAGGACCACCAGUGGCGAAGGCGUCUCACCAGAACGGACCUGACGGCAAGGGACGAAAGCUAGGGGCACGAACCGGAUUAGAUACCCGGGUAGUCCUAGCCGUAAACGAUACUCGCUAGGUGUCGGCCACGGUGCGACCGCUGUCGGUGCCGUAGGGAAGCCGUGAAGCGAGCCACCUGGGAAGUACGGCCGCAAGGCUGAAACUUAAAGGAAUUGGCGGGGGAGCACCACAACGGGUGGAGCUUGCGGUUU